rnacentral:lncRNA from 1 species
GGUCUUCGGACUGGGUCAGGUUCCUCACCUGGGCCCUUGCUGCCACUCAUGCCUGGCUGCUGCUGUUCUGUCCAGCCAUCCUGUGUGUGCUCCGCUAUGAGCUUCCUCCGCUCCAGAUCCACAGAAGCACGGCUGUGGGUGCCAUGUCUCCCUGUGGAAUGUCAUCCAGCCCCUCUCACUGCCCGAUGCUGCUCUCCCCACAUCUCAGCUCAGGGCUCAGCCCUCCUCAGAGAAACCAUCCUAGCAACUCAUGUAACAUGACUUCCCACGACUGCUUACCACCAGCCACUCUAAUGAUUAUUUUCUGUUUAAUUCUUCUCUUUUGGGCCAAAUGUGUGUGUGUAUACAUAUAUGCAUAUAUAUGUAUAUAUGUGUAUGUGUGUGUAUGUGUGUAUGUAUAUAUGUGUAUAUAGACAUGAAUGUAUAUAUGUGUGUGUGUAUAUAUUAUAUAUAUGAGAGGGAGAGAGAGAGGAAGAGAAAGAGAGAGGAAGAGAGAGAGGGAGAGGGAGGGAGAGAGAGAGAGAGAGUCUUCUUUCCUAGUUUGAUGGCUAUAAACCUGUAGAGGAAGGGGGCAGGAAUUGAACUCUCAUUUAGCCCUGGAACCUGGGAUAGUGCCCCACUCAUAAAAGAUGCUAGAAGAAGCAACAUGGACAAAACAUCAGAAGUAUUUUGCCUUUAGAGAAGUAGAGAGCUGUGUAGUGGGCAUAUCUAAAUUACCACUAUCAUUAUCAUUGCUUCUCUGUGUGUGCAUGUGCAUGUGCCGUAGCACCCUGUACAGACCAAAGAAGAGCUCUGUGGAGUUGGUCCUCUCCUUCCACCUUUAUGUUAGUUCUGGGGAUUGAGCGCAGGGUAGCAAGCACCCACUGAGACAUCUUUCUUUGCACAUUUCCAUACAGCAGAGUACAGGGAUACCUGCCUUCCCAUCUACUUGCUAUGAGCAUCCAAAUGCCAUCCCAUGUGUUUACAUCUACCAGUAGUUAUUGAACACUUUUUAUUAAAAUGAAAUCAAUUUCUCAGUGAUUGAAAAUAGAUUAUCUUGGGACACAGGAAUGGUGAGUGCUAAAGUUCACAUCUGUGGGCUGUGGUCAUAAAGACAGUGCUGUUGAACUGGGCGCAGUAAGUAAGUAAGUAAUUGGACUGUGUAGAAAAGAGGCAAGCCUUGCUUUCACUAGGUACAGCCAUCAUAGGCCUUUAGCUUUCAGCCACCACAGUCAUGCAGGGCUAUUGAAGGAAUGGCUUUCUGGUUUCUACACAGUGACAGCCACCUACCAAGGUUGACCUCAGACAGGCUUCAUCAGCCUCCCACAUGUAGGUAGGCACAGAGCAAGCAAACCCCAUGCGUACCAUCCCUAGUUGGGACAGAGGGAGGAGACGCUAGGAGUUCACUCUGGUCCACACUUAUAGCAGGGCAGCCAGCACCUAAUUUCUUAGUUCCAUCUGUAUGAUUUCUGUACAGAUGAGAAAACAGCCUUUAGU